rnacentral:lncRNA from 1 species
GUUUCAGAAUGCAAAGCAGUGAUUUAGAAAAACCCCAGGAGCUGAUCUGAUACCAAGCAGCUGCUGUUCGCCUUCAUGUCACUGGAGCAGCUCGUCAGAGAUCAUCUCUUCAAUCACAGGCACUCCAGCAGCCCAGGACGAUCAAUUCAUAACGUGCUUGGAGCGGAGGAAUGUCCCCAUUUGCCAUUCUGAAUGAUGAACUGGAGGGAUUCCAUGUGAACUGGAACAACCUCCAGGAAGUGAUGCAGAGUGAAAGGAGCGGAACCAGGAGAACCUUAUACACAGCGAUGGAUACACUGUGGUACAAUCAGAUAUAAUAGACUUCUCUACUAGCAGCAAUGCAAUGAUCCAGGACAAUUCUGAGGGACUUAUGAGAAAGAUCACUAUCCACAUCCAGAGGAAGAACCGUGGGAGCAGAAACACAGAAGAAAAACAUCUGCUUGAUGAUGUGGUUUGAUGGGGAUAUGGACUCUAAAGGAUCACUCUAUUGCAAAUAUUGAUAAUAUGGAAAUAGGUUUUGAACAAUGAUACAUGUAAAACCCAGUGGAAUUUCUCAUUGGCUACAGGAGAGGGGGAGGGAAAGAACAUGAAUCAUGUGACCAUGGAAAAUAUUCUAAAUUAAUUAAAAAAUGAAAAAUAAAAAAACAAAAACAAACA